GCCCAGCUAGCUCAGUUGACAGAGCAUGAGACUCUUAAUCUCAAGGUCAUGGGUUCAAGCCCCAUGUUGGGUG